rnacentral:rRNA from 1 species
AGGACGAACGCUGGCGGCGUGCUUAACACAUGCAAGUCGAGCGGAAAGGCCCUUCGGGGUACUCGAGCGGCGAACGGGUGAGUAACACGUGAGCAACCUGCCCUUAGCUUCGGGAUAGCUCCGGGAAACCGGAAUUAAUACCGAAUAUGACUUUGGCUGACAUCAGCAGAAGUGGAAAGUUUUUCGGCUAGGGAUGGACUCGCGGCCUAUCAGCUAGUCGGUGAGGUAACGGCCCACCAAGGCGACGACGGGUA